GACGUAGGGCGCGAGCGUUGUCCGGAUUUAUUGGGCGUAAAGAGCUCGUAGGCGGCUUGUCGCGUCGACUGUGAAAACUCGGGGCUCAACUCCGAGCUUGCAGUCGAUACGGGCAGGCUAGAGUUCGGUAGGGGAGACUGGAAUUCCUGGUGUAGCGGUGAAAUGCGCAGAUAUCAGGAGGAACACCGAUGGCGAAGGCAGGUCUCUGGGCAUUAACUGACGCUGAGGAGCGAAAGCAUGGGGAGCGAACAGG
rnacentral:rRNA from 1 species